rnacentral:rRNA from 1 species
UACAUGGGGUGCAAACGUUGCUCGGAAUUAUUGGGCGUAAAGCGCACGUAGGCGGUUUGUUAAGUCGGAUGUGAAAUCCCUCGGCUCAACUGAGGAAGUGCAUCCGAAACUGGCAGGCUUGAGUACUAAAGAGGGUCGCGGAAUUCCCCGGUGUAGAGGUGAAAUUCGUAGAUAUCGGGAGGAACACCAGUGGCGAAGGCGAGUCUCUGGGAUGAUACUGACGCUGAUGCUCGAAAGCUAGGGGAGCAAACGGG